rnacentral:rRNA from 1 species
AGAAAUAGGUGCUAAUACCGCAUAAGCGCACGGCUCCGCAUGGGGCAGUGUGAAAAACUCCGGUGGUAUACGAUGGAUCCGCGUCUGAUUAGCUAGUUGGCGGGGUAACGGCCCACCAAGGCAGCGAUCAGUAGCCGGCCUGAGAGGGUGGACGGCCACAUUGGGACUGAGACACGGCCCAAACUCCUACGGGAGGCAGCAGUGGGGAAUAUUGCACAAUGGGGGAAACCCUGAUGCAGCGACGCCGCGUGAGUGAAGAAGUAUCUCGGUACGUAAAGCUCUAUCAGCAGGGAAGAAAAUGACGGUACCUGACCAAGAAGCCCCGGCUAACUACGUGCCAGCAGCCGCGGUAAUACGUAGGGGGCAAGCGUUAUCCGGAUUUACUGGGUGUAAAGGGAGCGUAGACGGCAGCACAAGUCUGGAGUGAAAUCCCGGGGCUUAACCCCGGAACUGCUUUGGAAACUGUGCGGCUGGAGUGCAGGAGGGGUAAGCGGAAUUCCUAGUGUAGCGGUGAAAUGCGUAGAUAUUAGGAGGAACACCGGUGGCGAAGGCGGCUUACUGGACUGUAACUGACGUUGAGGCUCGAAAGCGUGGGGAGCAAACAGGAUUAGAUACCCUGGUAGUCCACGCCGUAAACGAUGAUUACUAGGUGU